rnacentral:lncRNA from 1 species
ACUUGAACAGAUGGAGAAAGUGUGGCAAGAACAUUGGUUUUGGAAGAGAAUAGUGACUGAAAUGAAUGAUAAAGAGCAUAAACGUGAGAUAUCAAUAUGAUAUACUUGAAGGAAGUUCUAAAUCAAAUGUUCUACCCAUGUUAGCUUAAAAAUUUGUCUAAAUAUCAUUACCUUGACUAUAAAGCAAUACAAUGGUUUUCAGUUUGUAAAAUUAGAUUAUAAUAAUUAAAACAGUUUUCUCCACUUUUAAAGUAUACUUCUUACUUGACAGAAGAAGUGCUGGCAAGUGACAUGAAUUGAAAGAUCAAGUUCAAACAUGAAAGUACGAAGUGUUGAUAGAAUCAAGGUGGUUUUAAAAUCCUCCCUAUUUUUCCUUGAGAGUAGCUUAUGGCAUAAAUGAUUAUUACUUGAUAUUGGCUUAAAUAAGAGAUCUACUCUGCUUGUAUUUGCAGAUAUCUAUCUUAAUCGGUAUAAAGGGUGGAAAACUACGAAUAAAUUCCAAUGUGAUGAUGUUCAUCCACAAAAAAAGUGACAGAAACGUGGUGUAAGUCACUUUUCUUAGUACUUGGGCGGACAACAUUAAAACUGUAGUAUGAAACUCGUGCAAAGAUUGUUAAAAUUGUAAACAAUCUUUCAAUCAUUGUUAAUUGAAAUAUCAGACGCAAGAAUAAUAUUACAGUACAAGCACAUUUAAGUGCUAUUAGUUCUCCUCAGUCAACAAAAUUAGCAUACUGAUUUGAAUUCAUUUGUUGGGAGAUACUCAUUUCUUGAAUAGUAUGUCUCAGGGUAGCACAGUAAAAACUUCAACGUCUUUCAUUGCAGGGCUCCUUACUGAGUAUUUAAAUGUCCAACCAUGGCAGGCACCAGCAUGCUCCCCCUUUUUAUUGAGGGCAACAACGGCUCCCAAAAAAUCUGGAAAUUUUUUCGCUAUUCGCG